GAUGAAGAACGUAGCGAAAUGCGAUACGUAAUGUGAAUUGCAGAAUUCAGCGAACCAUCGAAUCUUUGAACGCACAUUGCGCCUGCCAGCAUUCUGGCAGGCAUGCCUGUCCGAGCGUCAUUUCCCCCCUCACGCGCCCCGUUGCGCGCUGGUGUUGGGGCUCCUCCGCCUGGCGGAGGGCCCUGAAAGCGAGUGGCGGGCCUGGCUGGUUGGCUCCGAGCGCAGUACCGAACGCACCGUUCUCCCCUCGCUCGCGGGCCCCGCCGGCGCCCUGCCGUCAAAACCGCACGCGCGCCCCGCGCGCUGCACUUUUUACAAGGUUGACCUCGGAUCAGGUAGGACUACCCGCUGAACUUAAGCAUAUCAAUAAGCGGA
rnacentral:misc_RNA from 1 species